rnacentral:rRNA from 1 species
UACGUAGGGUGCAAGCGUUGUCCGGAAUUAUUGGGCGUAAAGAGCUCGUAGGCGGUCUGUCGCGUCUGCUGUGAAAACUCAGGGCUUAACCCUGAGCUUGCAGUGGGUACGGGCAGACUAGAGUGGCGGUAGGGGAGACUGGAAUUCCUGGGUGAUAGCGGUGAAAUGACGUGAGAUAUCUGGAGGAACACCGGGUGGCGAAGGCGGCAUCCUGGACCGGCAUUGACGCUGAGGAGCGAAAGCCAGGGGAGCAAACGGG